rnacentral:tRNA from 1 species
AGGCUUUCAACGGAUAAUAGUUUUCCAUCGGCUUUAGGAGCCGAAGAUCUUGGUGCAAAUCCAAGUGACAGCAU